rnacentral:rRNA from 1 species
GUCAAGUCAGCACGGCUCUUACGUCCUGGGCUACACACACGCUACAAUGGGCGCGACAGAGGGCGGCGAACCCGCGAGGGGGAGCGAAUCCCAGAAAGGCGUCCUCAGUUGGGAUUGCAGGCUGCAACCCGCCUGCAUGAACGUGGAGUUGCUAGUAACCGCAGGUCAGCACUACUGCGGUGAAUACGUUCCCGGGCCUU